GUACACUCCUGCGGGAGGCAGCAGUGGGGAAUUUUGGACAAUGGGCGAAAGCCUGAUCCAGCAAUGCCGCGUGAGUGAAGAAGGCCUUCGGGUUGUAAAGCUCUUUUGUCAGGGAAGAAACGGUGAGAGCUAAUAUCUUUUGCUAAUGACGGUACCUGAAGAAUAAGCACCGGCUAACUACGUGCCAGCAGCCGCGGUAAUACGUAGGGUGCAAGCGUUAAUCGGAAUUACUGGGCGUAAAGCGUGCGCAGGCGGUUUUGUAAGUCUGAUGUGAAAUCCCCGGGCUCAACCUGGGAAUUGCAUUGGAGACUGCAAGGCUAGAAUCUGGCAGAGGGGGGUAGAAUUCCACGUGUAGCAGUGAAAUGCGUAGAUAUGUGGAGGAACACCGAUGGCGAAGGCAGCCCCCUGGGUCAAGAUUGACGCUCAUGCACGAAAGCGUGGGGAGCAAACAGGAUUAGAUACCCCGGUAGUCCC
rnacentral:rRNA from 1 species